GGAAGAAACCCGUGCUGUCUAGUGGCAACUCCAUGAUGUUGGGACACCCCAGCUCGGUGAGGAUCCCUCCUCCCAGCAGCAAGUUCACUCUCCAACUGCCUUCACCACGUGAGCAGAUGGCUGGGGCUAGGAAGCUGAUUCCGAUCCCAGCCAGGCCGCCGAAUAAGACCAAGAUAUAGAAUUGUGUGUUCUUCACCUGGGCUUUUGUCCUGCCCAUACCCAGCAGGCACACAGCCCAUAAAGCAGGAAAAGGAACCAAGGUGAAGGAGGCAGAAACUCCGCAGCCAGCAAGGAGGAGGUGCUAUCU
rnacentral:lncRNA from 1 species